GGAAUUGACGGGGCCCGCGACAAGCGGUGAGCAUGUGGUUAAUUCGAUGAUACGCGAAGAACUACCGGGUUUGACAUGCAGGUGAUCGCGUUGAAAGACGGUUUCCUCUUCGGAGGCACCUGCACAGGGUGCUGCAUGGCUGUCGUCAGCUCGUGUCGUGAGAUGUUGGGUUAAGUCCCGCAACGAGCGCAACCCUUAUCCCUAGUUGCCAUCAGGUAAAGCUGGGAACUCUGGGGAGACUGCCGGUGACAAACCGGAGGAAGUGGGGAUGACGUCAAGUCCUCAUGGCCCUUAUAGGUGGGGCUACACACGUCAUACAAUGGAUGGUACAAAGGGUCGCCAACCCGCGAGGGGGAGCCAAUCCCAUAAAGCCAUUCGUAGUCCGGAUCGCAGUCUGCAACUCGACUGCGUGAAGUCGGAAUCGCUAGUAAUCGUGGAUCAGAAUGUCACGGUGAAUACGUUCCCGGGUCUU
rnacentral:rRNA from 1 species